GGGGGCGCACUGGUUUCGACGGGGUCGUGGAGACUGGGAAAGCGGGUAGAGGAUUCUCGUUGGCCUCUUUAAAAAACGAGAAAUGCAAGUAAUUGCAAACAAUACACAACUCGUAGCUGCUUAAUUUAGCUACCUUCUCCCCGAUCUAUCUGUCGGUCGGACCGGAGAAGUCAGAUGACAGACCUUACCUGCCGGCAGGUUAAACAGGACCACGGUCUCGGCAAAGCUUUGCGCCGGGAACGUACUUAUGAAGCUACCGGAGAGCAUAUCCUGUCCGUGGGGUCAUGCUUAAGGGGAAUACUCCAAUCACGGACUGCACCCGGAGAUGUCCUUGUUGACGUGGUUUCGGACAGGAGUUCGAUUCUCCUCGCCUCCACCA
rnacentral:tmRNA from 1 species